rnacentral:rRNA from 1 species
UACGUAGGGUGCAGGCGUUAAUCGGAAUUACUGGGCGUAAAGCGUGCGCAGGCGGUUUGGUAAGUCAGGUGUGAAAUCCCCGGGCUUAACCUGGGAACUGCGCUUGUAACUGGCAAGCUAGAGUGUGGCAGAGGGGGGUGGAAUUCCACGUGUAGCAGUGAAAUGCGUAGAGAUGUGGAGGAACACCGAUGGCGAAGGCAGCCCCCUGGGCUAACACUGACGCUCAUGCACGAAAGCGUGGGGAGCAAACAGG